CUCCCAAAGUGCUGGGAUUAUAGGCAUGAGCGACUGUGCCUGGCCUGUCUUCUGUAUAUCAUAGUAAGAAAAAGAUCUGACGAACAGGGAAGUGGAACUUCAAUACAUAUUUUUGAAUGAAUGAAUGUAUGAACGAGCUGAAGAUUAAAGUGAUUAUAGUUUAAUAAAUAUUUAUCAAAUGCAUAUUAUUUGUCACUUCAUUCAUUCAACAAAUAUGUUUCGAACCCCUGUUUAGGUCAAACUACUUGAGUAUUUGAGAAUACAAGAGUUGCAAAUGCACAUUCAAUCACUAUGUUCAUGGAACAUAGUGUCUGGCCAGAGAAAUACAGGUAAUCAAAAAAACCUCACUGCUGAAUGUUUUCGUUAUAAACCAUACUACAAAGGAACAUGCAAGUGCUAUGAGAGGCUCAGACAGGUAGCAACGAACUGGGAUUGAGCACCAAGGGGGGCUUCCCGGGAGAGACAGGGUUAGCUAGGUGGAGUUGUGGGGGAUGCAAUUCCAGGCGGGAGAGAGCUUGGGACCCUUACGGAAGGCCAGCACGCUCCUGCCCGGAAAAGGAGGGGGACAUGGUGGGAGAUAAAGUUGGAGAACUGGACAGAGGUGAGACCCUAUGGGGAAAGGUGGCCCCAUAACUGAUAUUGAUUUUGAUUUUAAGAGAAUCAGCUAGUCCUUGAAGGGUCAUAAGGAGGAAGAGGACAUGAUCAGAUUGACACCGAAAAACCUCACCCUGCUGCAGCGUGAAAUGUGAAACUGCUGGGGCCCAGAGUGUUUGAAAGGAGGCCAUUUAGGAGGCUGCUGGUGGUGGUGAGGACCAGGACGAUGGGUGAUGUGGGAUGGAGUGAAGGGGACAGGGCUGAGAGCUCCCCAGGAGCCAGAUGGAUAAGGAGGCCAGUGACAGAUGAUGAUGGGGGUGGAAGAGGAAAGGGCUGUGUCAAGGAUGUUGCUUCUCAGCAGGGGCACAGAAGUCUAAGACAUCAGUCCCACUUGAGAAUGGGAUUGCUUGCUGGAGGAGAGAGACCAGCAAGUGUAACCAGAUAUGAAGUGGGCAGUUUCAACCAAGGCAUCAAGCUACGAUAAUGCCACUCUGUAAAGGAGGCCCUAGACCAUGUACAGAGCUGUCAGACAAAUCAGUUGAAAACCAGUUAAACUGUUCUUGGGCCCUUCUUGAAGAUUAAAGAUAUAAAAGGGAUGACAUAAUGCUGAUAGAAUCAUUGAUUUUUUUUUUUUUGAGACAGGGUCUUGCUGUGUCACCCAGGCUAAAGUUCCGUGGCACCAUCAUGGCUUAUAGUAGCCUUGGACUCCCAGUCUCAAGAGAGUCUCCCACCUCCGUCUCCUGAGUAGCUUGGCUCAUUUUUUAAUUUUUUGUAAAGAUAGGUCUUACUAUGUUUCCCAGGUUGGUCUCGAACUCUUGGGCUCAAGUGAUCCUUCCUCUUCAGCCUCCCAAAGUGCUGGGAUUAUAGGUGUGAGCCACCGCACCUGACCCUCAUUGAUUUUUUAAAAGGAUUUCAUGGAGAAAACUGGGCUAGGAACCCCAUCCUCAAGGUAGAGGGUUGGGGGUCAGUGCUUCCUCCUGACUCCAGGCUUAGCGAGAAGGGCUUCCACAAGGCCACCCAGAGAGUUUGCCGUGGAUUCCCCCAGUUGGGUCCCAGAGCACUGGAGCUGGAGCCCCACUCUGGCCUGAGGAAGCUGAAGGGGCCCAGAGCAGCAGAGCUGGGCUGAUGGAGGGUCAAAGCAGGAUCAGUCCUGGUGGCAGGGAUGUAUGCUCAAAAGUCAGCCAGAGGUCUUUAGAAAGGAUAAGGGGACCUUGGCAGUGGGAGGCUGUGGGGUGUAGUUCUGGAGCAGAAGUGAAGGUGGGAUCAGGAGAGGCCCAUGUCAGGGGAUCCUGGUCAGAGGGGAGCCUGGGAAAACCCACAGGCCUUCCCAUGGAAGAGUUGGCUUUAAACAUCCAUGAGGACCACAGGAAUACAUACAGUCCUCUCACGAGAGUGACCCAACCCUGCGAUGGGGGUGGCUGGGGCAUAUGUCAGAAUCUGCAACUACCAAGAGCAGCAAGAGGUCAGCAGGACAGGAGAUGACUGGCCCCUUCCCUAGGCAGCAGCUGAGCUGCCAGGCCUGGCUAAGGAAGAGACAUGGAACAGGCUGAGUUUCAUGAACAUCCAGCGUGGGCUCCUACAGGCUCUAUACAGCUCUAAUUUUUGACUUGAGACAAUAUUCAUCACUUACAGGGUCUGUAAAACUUUUAAAUGAUCUGAAAGUGAUCCACCAAACAGUCACAGAUCUGUUCAAGAUUUUAUCUAGUGUCAAGGGAAGGACUGUUCUCACUAAGCAAAAAUAAAUGUGCUUUUUAUCAUAUCUGGGAGUCCUGCUUGUUGGAUGUACUGGGUACAGAAGUAAUUACAAAAUGAUGAGCUGUGUGCAACAAUUGAGGUAUGAGUGAAGGAGAGAGGAACUUGAGGAGCAGAGGAAGGUUUUACAGAAGUGACUGCUGACUGGGCCUUGGAUUGCAUGUUGGAACUUGCCACUGAGGGAAGGCGAAGCAUUACAAGCAGAUGGAUCUGAAUCUGAAAAGUCAGCAAGAAAUGAGUUUGCAAGUGGUCACACAGGGUGGUGGGUGGGGGGUGUAGAGGACAGAGGCAGCACCAGACUUUGGUGGAGACUUUGCAAACAGGGCUAAGGAAUUGGUCAUUUGUUUCCUGAAAGAGAGGGUAACAAGAAAAUAAUGUGUCCUCACAUCAAUUUUCUGGAGAAAUGAUUCUUGCAGGUGCGCCGUAGGAAUUCCAGCCUGAGUAAGGUAAGAGUAAUUUGCUGGGCGGCCAGUAGGGGUAUGAUCCCAGUGAGAGAGGCAGGAGGAGAGGACUAAGGCAGUGGCACUAGGAAGAGAGAGGAGGGGUCCAGUUACAAAAAUGGGGUCUGUUUGCCAUUGACAAUGAGGGGGCUGUGUGUGCGUUUGAUCAUAAUAGUGAGGUCAGUCAGGAGAGGAGUGGGGUUGGUGGAAAUGGGGUAGGUUGAAGCCAGUGUGGUUGGAUAACGGGGUGAGGAUAUGAGAGCCUGCAGGCCUUGGAGACAGGGCAGUUAAAGGGAACGAUGAUCUUGUAACAGGAUCUACGUUAUUCUGAGGCAACAGAACUCUGGCUGAGAAAAUUCAAUUGCCGUGGGGCGUAAGCAAAUGUUUUUGAGCUGGAGAGGAAUAUGACCAACGCCAUCCAGCAGCAAGAGAAUGUACUCUAAGGAGGAGACGGGCACAACGAUAUCAUUUUGCACAUUUGGACAUGUCUGUGCACAUGCAAAUGGUCAUUGGAUGAACAACCUCUCCCUAUUAUCAUAGGCUUGGGGUCCCACCCAAGUAAUCACCCUGUCUGUCCUUUGUGCUUUUAUCAGUACACAAGAAACCGAUGGGACUCUACAUCUUAGCUUUAUCAAUUAGGACUCCUCACCACCACUGCACAGUUCAGGGCCUUGUGCUAUGCCUACUGAGGCCUCCUCCUACCUCUCCACAAAUCUAGACCUUGCACUGGGAUGAGAAGUGGGUCUGCAAAGCAUGCCCUGAGCACCCGUUCACAGCCAGCUAUGUGCAGGAUCCUCACACCAAGGAGCUGGGGUGGGAGUUGAGUCAAUAGCCAGGCCUGCACCAUAGGCGUGACCCAGACAGGCCAUCACAUGGAGAUGGAAAGGCAGCAGAUAAGGCCACUUCAGAGAGACAGGGUGGAGCCCAUGUCCUGCUCCUGAGACCAAGCAAUGCCUCUUCAUGCUUCCUUGCAGACCAUUCCCUCCCACUAGUCCAGCCCUUGGCAACCAUAGGCUUCUUUUUUUUUUUUUUUCUCA